AGCAAAAAUGUGCUAAAUGAUACCCAUCCUCUCCUCACAUUACUGUACUUGCACUUACCAUCCUCAUCUUCGCCAUAGAGGUGGUUAAGAGGGUGACGUACACAGCAUCUAGCACGAAUCCAAUAAGCAGCUAUCAAGUCUCAAGAUAUGACAUAAUUUGAUAGAAUGUUAGUACCAACGCUAUCAGUGCAUUGAAGUCGAGUUCUCGAUGCAGGGAGCUGCUGGUAAACUACCGUCGCUAUACAUCGACUAUGACUACAAUCCUACUUUUAAAAACAAACUACAUACAUAUCUCACAUUUGCGAGGACUACUUCAUCACAAGCAAAAAAUCGACAUUGGUAAAUAAAGGUCUGUCUUCUAUAACCACGAUGAAAAGAAAAGCUGGGCGAAAACAUUUGAGACUGCAGAUUGCAGAACUGGAACACUCUAUUUGAAGACAGUGGCUGCUGAGUGCUGAGCUGCAUCAAAUCUAUCAGCAUCAUGUAACUUCGAUCAGGAACAGACUCCAUUUCAUUUCCGACAACUAGCACCUGUUUUCCCUAGACUUACCAAGUAUUAAGUAACUGCAUUAGUAUUAGGUUAAAUUAAAGGCCCUACAUCGAACAAGUCUAACAAUUAAAACUUAAAUGCAAGAGUGCACAAUUUAUCACUAAAUAUCUUCCUCUUUUAAUUCUAAUCAACACACGGUUUCGUCUUUGUUUCACCCAAUCGUGCUGAUAAUCAGUAAUCAUGCACUCUGCACUCUAACUUCGAGAUGUUUCAAAAGGGCUCCCGACGAGUUGAAUUAGAUCAAUAUUUUCUUUUGAUACAUAGAUACUGAUUGGGAGGUUCAUCAUACUAUUCUUGUCACAUGGUAACGAUUAACGAUUAGCUGAUCAGCUUCCAGCAUCGACAGGCCGAAAUCCAUAAAUAUAAUCAGUUGUAAUUUAAUAUUUAUCAUCGUCCGGAUCAUCAUAAUAUUUUAAUUUAAAGUUACAAUUGAACGGUGUUAAGAAAGAUAAUUUAAGAGAAAUGUUUUGAAAGUGCCUGAUUUCGAGUAUAAGAUCUGUACUGAUACAUUAAUUUUCAGAUUGUUAUUAUAGUUUAUUUGUAUUUUUUAUAUUAUCUUAUCCGCACAAGUUCGGAAGCCAUCUGAACGCUAUUGCCAGACACAGGCAUAUAUUUAUUUUGGGGUAUCAUGCUCUCAGAAAUUUCAACUCAGUCCGAUAUUAUAGUUAUACUAACCUGCAUUGCAUAAGGUUAAUUGUCUCGCAGUCUAGUGCAUAAACCUUUUAUUUUGUAUAAACCCUUUAUUUUGAUUGGGAAAACUUUAGUUUAAUGUGGUUACCGUCUCUAAAGUUGGCAUGAUAGUUAAUAAACUCUUAUCUAUUAUGUCACUGAAGAUGACGCCUUGCAACAUGUUUGACGAUAGCCUGUAGAUUGAUAGUUUGAUCUAAGUAUUUACAACAAUUCAUCUAGUUUGAUUGAUUCAAAGGGAAACAAAUUCCUCUCUUAUCUAUUAUGACUAUAUUUAAAUUCAAUCCUGUAAAGUGAUACUCCUUUUUUAGUAAUUUAAA